UACGUAGGGUGCGAGCGUUGUCCGGAAUUAUUGGGCGUAAAGAGCUUGUAGGCGGUUUGUCGCGUCUGCUGUGAAAAUCCGGGGCUCAACCCCGGACUUGCAGUGGGUACGGGCAGACUAGAGUGUGGUAGGGGAGACUGGAAUUCCUGGUGUAGCGGUGGAAUGCGCAGAUAUCAGGAGGAACAACGAUGGCGAAGGCGGUUCUCUGGGCAUGUCCUGACGCUGAGGAGCGAAAGCGUGGGGAGCGAACAGG
rnacentral:rRNA from 1 species